UACGAAGGGGGCUAGCGUUGCUCGGAAUCACUGGGCGUAAAGCGUGCGUAGGUGGUUUUUUAAGUCAGGUGUGAAAUCCCUGGGCUCAACCUGGGAACUGCAUUUGAUACUGGAAAGCUAGAGUGUGGUAGAGGAUGGUGGAAUUCCCGGUGUAGCGGUGAAAUGCGUAGAUAUCGGGAGGAACAUCAGUGGCGAAGGCGGCCAUCUGGACCAACACUGACACUGAGGCACAAAAGCGUGGGGAGCAAACAGG
rnacentral:rRNA from 1 species